rnacentral:rRNA from 1 species
AUACGGAGGGUGCAAGCGUUAUUCGGAAUCACUGGGCGUAAAGGACGCGUAGGCGGGUUGGCAAGUCAGAUGUGAAAUCCUACAGCUUAACUGUAGAACUGCAUUUGAAACUGCUAACCUAGAGUAUGGGAGGGGGAGAUGGAAUUAGUGGUGUAGGGGUAAAAUCCGUAGAUAUCACUAGGAAUACCGAAAGCGAAGGCGAUCUCCUGGAACAUAACUGACGCUAAGGCGUGAAAGCGUGGGGAACAAACAGGAUUAGAACCCCAGUAGUCC